UACAGAGGUCCCAAGCGUUAUUCGGAUUCACUGGGCGUAAAGGGUGCGUAGGUGGUGAGGUAAGUCGGAUGUGAAAGCUCGGAGCUCAACUCCGAAAUGGCAUUGGAAACUACCUUGCUCGAGGGUUGGAGGGGGGACUGGAAUGCUUGGUGUAGCAGUGAAAUGCGUAGAUAUCAAGCGGAACACCAGUGGCGAAGGCGAGUCCCUGGACAACUCCUGACACUGAGGCACGAAAGCUAGGGGAGCAAACAGG
rnacentral:rRNA from 1 species